AACGAACGCUGGCGGCAGGCCUAACACAUGCAAGUCGAGCGAGAUCUUCGGGUCUAGCGGCGGACGGGUGAGUAACGCGUGGGAAUAUGCCCUUCUCUGCGGAAUAGCCUCGGGAAACUGAGCGUAAUACCGCAUACGCCCUUUGGGGGAAAGAUUUAUCGGAGAAGGAUUAGCCCGCGUUGGAUUAGGUAGUUGGUGGGGUAACGGCCUACCAAGCCGACGAUCCAUAGCUGGUUUGAGAGGAUGAUCAGCCACACUGGGACUGAGACGCGGCCCAGACUCCUACGGGAGGCAGCAGUGGGGAAUCUUAGACAAUGGGGGCAACCCUGAUCUAGCCAUGCCGCGUGAGUGAUGAAGGCCUUAGGGUUGUAAAGCUCUUUCAGCUGGGAAGAUAAUGACGGUACCAGCAGAAGAAGCCCCGGCUAACUCCGUG
rnacentral:rRNA from 1 species